GGAUGAGUUGCGAACGGGUGAGUAACGCGUAGGUAACCUGCCUUGUAGCGGGGGAUAACUAUUGGAAACGAUAGCUAAUACCGCAUAACAAUGGAUGACACAUGUCAUUUAUUUGAAAGGGGCAAUUGCUCCACUACAAGAUGGACCUGCGUUGUAUUAGCUAGUAGGUGAGGUAAUGGCUCACCUAGGCGACGAUACAUAGCCGACCUGAGAGGGUGAUCGGCCACACUGGGACUGAGACACGGCCCAGACUCCUACGGGAGGCAGCAGUAGGGAAUCUUCGGCAAUGGGGGCAACCCUGACCGAGCAACGCCGCGUGAGUGAAGAAGGUUUUCGGAUCGUAAAGCUCUGUUGUAAGUCAAGAACGGGUGUGAGAGUGGAAAGUUCACACUGUGACGGUAGCUUACCAGAAAGGGACGGCUAACUACGUGCCAGCAGCCGCGGUAAUACGUAGGUCCCGAGCGUUGUCCGGAUUUAUUGGGCGUAAAGCGAGCGCAGGCGGUUUGAUAAGUCUGAAGUUAAAGGCUGUGGCUCAACCAUAGUUCGCUUUGGAAACUGUCAAACUUGAGUGCAGAAGGGGAGAGUGGAAUUCCAUGUGUAGCGGUGAAAUGCGUAGAUAUAUGGAGGAACACCGGUGGCGAAAGCGGCUCUCUGGUCUGUAACUGACGCUGAGGCUCGAAAGCGUGGGGAGCGAACAGGAUUAGAUACCCUGGUAGUCCACGCCGUAAACGAUGAGUGCUAGGUGUUGGAUCCUUUCCGGGAUUCAGUGCCGCAGCUAACGCAUUAAGCACUCCGCCUGGGGAGUACGACCGCAAGGUUGAAACUCAAAGGAAUUGACGGGGGCCCGCACAAGCGGUGGAGCAUGUGGUUUAAUUCGAAGCAACGCGAAGAACCUUACCAGGUCUUGACAUCCCGAUGCUAUUUCUAGAGAUAGAAAGUUACUUCGGUACAUCGGUGACAGGUGGUGCAUGGUUGUCGUCAGCUCGUGUCGUGAGAUGUUGGGUUAAGUCCCGCAACGAGCGCAACCCCUAUUGUUAGUUGCCAUCAUUCAGUUGGGCACUCUAGCGAGACUGCCGGUAAUAAACCGGAGGAAGGUGGGGAUGACGUCAAAUCAUCAUGCCCCUUAUGACCUGGGCUACACACGUGCUACAAUGGUUGGUACAACGAGUUGCGAGUCGGUGACGGCGAGCUAAUCUCUUAAAGCCAAUCUCAGUUCGGAUUGUAGGCUGCAACUCGCCUACAUGAAGUCGGAAUCGCUAGUAAUCGCGGAUCAGCACGCCGCGGUGAAUACGUUCCCGGGCCUUGUACACACCGCCCGUCACACCACGAGAGU
rnacentral:rRNA from 1 species